rnacentral:sRNA from 1 species
UCUCUAACGAAUAACUUAACAUCUAUCUUUCAUACAUAACAUCUAUUCUUCUCUGAAUCAAUGUUUAUACUCUUUGGAGGGAACGGAACACUCGUCUGCACACUUCUUCUUCGAGACCUGCUGCUGGACUGAUUAUGGAGAUAAAGAAUCUUAUUCGCACUCAUCUUGAUCCUCUCUCACGAGCUCAACGUAUUGGCCCCAAUGGUUUAUCGUACCUCGCCACUUGGUUCGGUCUCUUUAUUUGAUCAUAUGCUUUGUUUUACUUUUCUUUGUUGUUUUGUAGGUGUUACUCGUUUUGGAGGCGGUGUGUAUUCGAUUUCGUUUUAUAAAUGAAGGUAAUGUUAAAAAAAAA